GCAAGCACUUUCUCAGUUGUGCAUGUGUAUAUGUGCAUGCAUAUAGGUACAUAUAUGCAUCUAUUUGCACGUGUGUGCAUGCAUAUGUACACGUGUACAGGCAGGAACUCCCAGGGCU
rnacentral:precursor_RNA from 12 species